rnacentral:rRNA from 1 species
CAGCCGCCGCGGUAAUACGUAGGUCCCGAGCGUUGUCCGGAUUUAUUGGGCGUAAAGGGCUCGCAGGCGGUUUCUUAAGUCUGAUGUGAAAGCCCCCGGCUCAACCGGGGAGGGUCAUUGGAAACUGGGAAACUUGAGUGCAGAAGAGGAGAGUGGGAUUCCACGUGUAGCGGUGAAAUGCGUAGAGAUGUGGAGGAACACCAGUGGCGAAGGCGACUCUCUGGUCUGUAACUGACGCUGAGGAGCGAAAGCGUGGGGAGCGAACAGGAUUAGAUACCCCUGUAGUCCCUGUCUCUUAUAC